ACAAUACAUCAUCAUUUUUUUCGUAUAAUCCCGGGAAUCGGCCCGGGAGUCUCUACGAGAUCACCGUAAUGAUCUGGCUACGAAAAAGAAGGGAUGCGGA
rnacentral:ncRNA from 16 species